UACGGAGGGACCGAGCGUUGUCCGGAAUCAUUGGGCGUAAAGAGCGUGUAGGCGGCUUGCUAAGUCUUGCGUGAAAUCUCGGGGCUCAACUCCGAGCGGUCGUGGGAAACUGGCAGGCUAGAGUGCGGGAGAGGUGAGUGGAAUUCCGAGUGUAGAGGUGAAAUUCGUAGAUAUUCGGAAGAACACCAGUGGCGAAGGCGGCUCACUGGACCGGUAUUGACGCUGAGGUGCGAAAGCGUGGGGAGCAAACAGG
rnacentral:rRNA from 1 species